rnacentral:rRNA from 1 species
UACGUAGGGUGCAAGCGUUGCCCGGAUUUAUUGGGCGUAAAGGGCGCGUAGGCGGAUAGUUUAGUCAGAGGUAAAAGCCCAGGGCUCAACCUUGGAACUGCCUUUGAUACUGGCUAUCUUGAGUACGGGAGAGGUGUGUGGAACUCCGAGUGUAGAGGUGAAAUUCGUAGAUAUUCGGAAGAACACCAGUGGCGAAGGCGACACACUGGCCCGUUACUGACGCUGAGGCGCGAAAGCGUGGGGAGCAAACAGG